UAAGGAAUAUUGGUCAAUGGACGAGAGUCUGAACCAGCCAAGUAGCGUGCAGGAUGACGGCCCUAUGGGUUGUAAACUGCUUUUAUAUGGGGAUAAAGUGGGGAACGUGUUCCCUUUUGCAGGUACCAUAUGAAUAAGGACCGGCUAAUUCCGUGCCAGCAGCCGCGGUAAUACGGAAGGUUCGGGCGUUAUCCGGAUUUAUUGGGUUUAAAGGGAGCGUAGGCCGUUUGGUAAGCGUGUUGUGAAAUGUAGGAGCUCAACUUCUAGAUUGCAGCGCGAACUGUCAGACUUGAGUGCGCACAACGUAGGCGGAAUUCAUGGUGUAGCGGUGAAAUGCUUAGAUAUCAUGAAGAACUCCGAUUGCGAAGGCAGCUUACGGGAGCGCAACUGACGCUGAAGCUCGAAGGUGCGGGUAUCGAACAGG
rnacentral:rRNA from 1 species